rnacentral:rRNA from 1 species
AUACGGAGGGUGCAAGCGUUAUCCGGAAUCACUGGGUUUAAAGGGUGCGUAGGCGGAGUCAUCAGUCAGAAGUGAAAUACCUGGGCUUAACCGAGGAACUGCUUUUGAUACUGUGGCUCUUGAAUAAGGUUGAGGUUGGCGGAAUGUGACAUGUAGCGGUGAAAUGCAUAGAUAUGUCAUAGAACACCAAUUGCGAAGGCAGCUGGCUAGACCUUUAUUGACGCUGAGGCACGAAAGCGUGGGGAGCGAACGGGAUUAGAUACCCCAGUAGUCC